CUUCAAGGGAGCCUUUCCUCCAGAGGAUGGCAAUCCGGGUGCAAAAUUGAAAGAGCAGGUUCGAGGAAGGGUUAAAAGUACUUUUCCCAACUCCUGUGUUUCAGAGACACGCUGGGCAUCCUUCGGAGGGGUGGGAAGGAUGACAAAAAAGGGAAUCCUGGCUACCGAUUGGCUAGCCUCUAGCAGCUGCAGUUGAGCUAAAGCGGCUGCUAAAGAGCAGUAUUGAUUUGAAGGGGAAAUGUGGAGGGAGUCCCUGAGAGAGGGAUCCAGUCAUUUCUGAGAAGAGCCAGCCUCUUCCAGGAAGAAAGGGGGUCUCCAUCUACCUGCCUGGCCCCUGACAUCCUUCUGUGAAUGAAGAGGAAGAUCCAGAAAAGCCAGCUUGGUGCUACAGUGAUUUAGAAAGGGAAGGGAAUCGCUUCUUCAGCGCAAGGUAUCUUGCCUUUUGCUGGUGCUGCUGUUCUUGCUGCUGCAGUUUCUGCUCCUCAGCUCUGCUGGCCAGCUGGUUGGUGUUAUUUGGGAAUGCAGCCAACUGAGGAUUGGAGAACUUUGCUUUGAAGUUUCAGACGAUGAUCCGUCUCCUAAAGACAGCAAGGAGUUCCACCUAAAUAGGAGGAGCGCAGCAUGCAGCUACCCGGAGCGUGUUGAUUGAAAACUUAGAUUGCUCCCAAAUCACAGCUGAUUUGACCGGUGUCUCAGCUCGAUCAAAGGAAAGAUUUCAAUUAAGGUAAGUGCUGCUUUAUCUGGGUGACUGCAUCGGAUGGAAUUUCUGCAUUGGAAGUUCUAACUGACUAAUCUGACAUUCUGCACUGCAGUAAGGCAUUGUGCUCCUUUGAGUAAAAGGCUUUAGUUUGGAAGCAAAUGUCCCAGAAUGGAACUAUUGUCUGAGAGGAAGAGGAUUUUUGAAGGUGGUUCCUGUGAAAGGCUACAUUUUCUGAAAUCCAAUCACCUUUUGGAUCUCGGUG
rnacentral:lncRNA from 1 species